rnacentral:misc_RNA from 1 species
AUAUAGCAGCGUGCUCCUCGCGCACCGUGUCCAACGUGGAUUGCACAUCCACACAUACAAGCGCGCACGGAGAACCUCCUCAGCGUCAUCUUCACCUUUGGCUUUGAAAAAAAAAAAAACAGUUACUUGCACAAGAUGGACAAGUCGCACGUGACGGAGCUCAUUCAGCGGUGGCGCGUGCUGAAGGGGAAUUUAACGGAGAAGGCAAGCGAGCUAGAGACCGUACGGAAAUCCCUACAGGAGCUCGAAGGCGAGCACGCCAAGAUGACGCAGCAGUGGGACCUCGAGAAGGAAACUAUCCGAAACACGAGCAGUGCCAUUGAAGCGCAGGUGGCUAACAAAAAGGAUGAGCUGCAACGCAUCAAGCAAGAGACCCAGGAGUUGCACCGCAAAGUCGAGGAGCGCCGCCGGCGCAACGAGGAACAUCAGCUCGUAUUGAGCAAGCGCAAACUAAUAGUGGAUGCUCGCGUAAAGGAGGCUGAAGAAAAGGAUGCGGCAGCUCGGGAGCGCCUGACCACGUUUCAGCGCUCUCGUGACGAGGCCCGUGAGCGACUGCUGGCCGCUGUCAGGAAGCACGAGGCGGCCAUUCCGCAAGAUCAGGCGGCACACGAGGACAAAGUGCUGCAGCUCAAGAGCCGUAUCGCAGAAACGUUGGCCGCCAUCGAUGCGGAGGCCAAGUCGUGGGCACUUGAGCAGGCAAUGAAAGAGUGGAACGAGAAGUCAAACGCACGCAAGCACAUCCUAGACGAGGUAGCAGCAGCAGAGGAGGGAAAGGACGCCUGGGCAGAUCUGCUGCGCGAGGCCAACAGCAUUCAUAUUCAAGACAACUUGACGGUACUCGCUGAGCUGCGUGCCAUCGUCUCUGCCUGAGUCGAGCAAGCACAAAGCACAUGGCCCUCCUCAUUCCGUUCUCCCCUCUUGAUCGCUGGCUGUCGUUCAUGUGCCCCCCCCCUCCCUCACUCAUGCUGAUUCUUAUUGUCAGCCUUCGUCCCUGGAUGAGGCCUCAAGGUGUUCCUCCUCUCCGCCCCGCUCCCUCCGACGUAUCUCUCGCAGACACCGCCGUCUUUUCGUCGACAUAGAUUUACACAGAUUUCGUAUCCCUUUGUCACUUUUUUUCUUUGCUCGUCUCUGUCGUGCACUGCCCGUCCCCCUUCUCUUUCCGCGUAGAGCAGCUGUGACUUUCGGCUGUGCCGUCACGCUGGCUUCCACCCCCCCCCACACCCCCUUCGUUAGAUGCACACGCAACACGUCGCUCAGUAGCGGCGUUGACUAGGCCAGUACCUGUCGCGGUGGUCGCUACUUUCUUAGAUGCUCUUUGUUUUCCCUUAUCCUACAGACGUCCCGCAACGAAGUCAAAAAAAGGGCAAGCGUGUGUCUCUCUCCUCUAGCGCCCCAUCACCAUCACCGCGGGCGAGACGAGGAUGAUGUGCCUUUACAGGACAGCCGACGAUCAUGUCGGAUGAGGAGGACUUCCAAGGGGCCUCUCGCCGGCACUUCGAGAAAGAACAGCGGGUCUCGCGUCUCCUUUAUUCUCAUUCGACGUGUCGCCAAGUCUCACCUGCUCUGUGGUAGCCUCACCUCUGCUCUGGCCACCGAUCUUUCCCUCUUUGCUCCGCGAGGAACUCUUGCGAUUUCG